GACGAGGAGGAAGAGAAGGAGGAGGAAGAGGAGGAGGGGGGAGAAGGAGGAAUUAGAAUUAGAAUUCUACCAUAGGAUCCAGCAGUCCAUUCCUUAACAUAUGUCCAAAGACUCAACAUCUGUUCACAAUAGCCAGGAAAUGAAAACGACAUGCCUUCCCCUCAGCGGGCAGUGGAGAUGUGGUAUGUACACAUACUGAGAUGCUACUCAGCUGUAAACAAAAGUGAAAUCAUGAACUUUGCGAAUGGAUCGAGCUAGAAAAGACUUUAUUUCGAAGCAACCCAGACCCAGGAAGACAAACCACAUAUUCUCUCUCAAGACUAGCUCCACAUCCAUAGACGUGACUCUAAAACACGGAGUGACCACAGGCUACAGGAGAAGCGCACAGGAACCAUAGUGGGGAGUGAGGUAGGGAUAGCAGUAUACAAAAUGGAAAGCCUGAGAAGUUAAUUAUCAAGGAAGAAGGGAAGUCAAUAGAGAAGGAAGCAGGAUGAGGGACAAAUAACACGGAGGUCGUCUGAUAAAGCCUCAAGAAAUCACUUUAUUUUAUGAUAACACACACAUUCAAGAAUAUAAAUCUAUUCAAGAGAGCUAUUCUACUUCGGGUAACAAUGCUCGCCAUAAGAGUCAUAGACUAACAAAAAAUCGAUAUGGGCAUGAGAAACCUUUUAAAUUAUUGGUCAGGGUUGUUCAAGCGACUUCCCAAACAACCUGCAUUAUUGAUGUAAUCCGUAGUUGCCUCUCAGGGGUUGACAAAGGGCCCCUAUACAGAAGACUUGGAUAUUUGAGCUGGAUCUGACCUGAAAGCCUCCUUCCUUUGGUCUAACUUCCAUAGUACCAGAAAAGACUCUGCAAGCUGCCAAGAGAGGGAAGCAAUUAAACAGCCUCACUCAGAUGCGAGACCAAUGAACUGUGACAAUGACCAGCAUGACAAGGGGCACGUGAAGAUUCAAGACAUGGCACUCACAGGUCCCUGGCAACCGACAGCUAUCUCGCUGGACUUAAGGUCCACUCAACAGGAGGGAAACCAUGCCUGAUACUGGCAACCUAGCCGGCUUCCUGGUGGUCACAAGUUUAGAAAAGAAUCUACUACAGAUGGCUGGUUAAAGUGACUUAAUUACUACAUUCUAAAUCUUGUCCUUAGACCCACAGAAAGUGUAGAUACUGCUCCUCAUCAGAGAAGCCUCUCUUUAGAGUAAACAGAGACCAUCACAGAAAACCACAGUGGGAUCAAUGGAGAGAUCAGUAGCUCAUGGGGAGUCCAACCCCAGUGGAUACACCCUCAUCAAAGCCCCUGCAUCUAUGGCUCAGCUAACACUGAGGGAGAGAGGGUGGGAAGGCUUAAAGGUCCAGGACAUCAGAGGUCAGCUGUGAAACUGUAUGUCCUCGAAAUGGCUGUGUAAACCAAACGUGGAGAAUGGCAAUACCAGUGGACAAACUGGGGUGGAAGGGGGAAAUUUCAAGGGGGUCCCCAUUCUUCGACAAAGAAUUACAGGUAGCUGUUGACUGUUAGAGAAGAAAGUUAGCCUCUCCUAGGGAUGAGCCAGCCCCCUUAUUGGCUCUCCAGUGCAGAGUGGUCAGUCCUGAAACCAUAUAUGUACAAACAACAAAAAACACUCAAAUUCCAUUUAUGUGUUUAGUAUACAUACAUAGUUACGUGCAUACACGCAUACACACACACACACACACACACACACACACACACACACAAAAUAACUGACAACCUUGCCUGUUUCCAGGUAACUAGAAAUCCCCUCACUUGUCCUUUGAGAGAGAGAUGGAAAAUUUUAGUAGCUGUCUAUCAGCUGGGUCUGUUUUUUCCUCUCAUUAGAUAGGCCAUGUGCUGAAUAUCUAAAUUUUCUGGUAGGACUGUAAUUUAUUAUCUCUGAGAACUUUAUGUUCCCACUGUACCAAGACAAGGAGGAAGUGUCUGAUAUCCAUUUUAAAUGUGUCCCCGUUCUCUUAACGAAGGUCACUUACACACAGCAUUCAGACUGAAACAGCGGGGAAAUUUAGAUUUUGUAGUUCCAUGGAUGACUAUGGGGAGUUGAGGACAUCAGUAAAUGCUGGGUCACCCUCUGAAGAUGGUGUAUUGUCUUCCAGGAGAAGCUGGAAGGACCUGGCUAGGCUAGGGGGGAAAGUUAGAGUACAGACCUGUCCCCUAAAGCCAACACCUUGGGAAGAAACUAUCCACAAGACAGUAUGAGGGUUAAGUGGUUCUCAAAACAAAGUGCGAUCAUUUGCUGAUGCCCCAAGGUCCUGAGCACAUCUGCACCCUGCUUCCUUUAGGAUCUUACGCUAAAGACCAGAAUGUUACAAGAGAGACAGGAGAGAGGGGAGAACGUGAGAGAGGGGCUUUUAGCCAUGGGUUGGACCCCUUCCUUUACAUGGGGUUUUAAGGGAUACUGGGGUACAAUUAGUAAUGACUUGCAGGAUGAAUGUGGGGUUUUAUGUACACCAGUGAAAUCUCCCCCCAGCAGGCCCAGCUAACUCUGGCACAGAGGUUCCCGGGAGCUGCACAGAGUGGCCCCUCUGGCGUGCAUUUGAUAGUUCAGUUGCACGUGCAGAACUCCCUUCUUCCAGCUCAGUUUAGCAUGACAAAAUGUUCUUCAGUCAACCUAAGGGUUGAGGUGAGGUCUGGAGCUGAGAAACCCACAGGACGUUUUCAACGCCCACUGCCCGUGUGGCUGGCCAGUCUUCUCUGAAGUACAGCCAAAGUGACAGGACUUGGUACAGCGUACUGGAGCUGACGGGAGGACAGCUGUUUAUCCUUAAUUCACCUUGACUGCUCAUGGCAUGGCAGGGUCUUAAGUAGAUUUCUCUUCCCUUGAGCUUCCCAUGUGAUCUAAACUGAGGAAAUCUUGCUUUCUUCCCUCUGUACGGUGGGGUAACUUCUUCACUGUUUCUUCUGUUUGCAUAUGAAGGAGCACAUCAGUGCACAGCUAGUUGGAGAGAGCUCACCAGUGCACUCUGUAGGCAGCUAAUUUACUGUAGUUCAUAAGACGCCAUAUUGGGGGUGGUAAUUUAAUUAAAGACCCCUUUCUCUCCUCAUUUCUACUUUUGAAGUGCAACAUCUCUGGGGGGGGGGAUCAGAAAAAAGGUGAGUUACGGUUUCAUGACUAACUCUCCAGAGAGAUGGGUCAAAGUGAGUGUAUAUGUGUGUGAGUGUGUGUGUGGUGUAUGUGUGGUAUGUAUGUAUGGUGUGUAUGUAGUGUGUGUAGUGUGUAUCUGUGGUGUGUUUGUGUGGUAUAAAUGUAUGGUGUGUGUGGUGUGUAUGUGUGGUGUUUGUGAGUACGUGUUGUGUGCUGUGUGUGUGGUGUUUGUGUUGUGUGUAUGUUGUAUGUGUGUGGUAUGUGUGUGUCAUGCGUGUAUAUGUGUGGUGUGUGUGUUGCCUGUGUGUGUUUGCAUGCAUGCAUGAAUGAAUGAAUGAGCAAGUAAGUGAGACUUCCAUCAAAUUUUGCUAGAAAUCAUGCCUUUAGGAAGCCAUGCAUUUGGUAUAUUUGGGAGCCCAUUUAUGGUCACUGGGCUUGUUGUGGUAAGAUCGGUCUCAUGGUCCCUUCCUGGCCAAUGCAAUUGGCUCUUAGCACGUGAAGUUUAGAAUGACUGGUGAACAAACUGGCCAUGCGUGGCUGAAAAGAAUUCCAAAUGCUUUCAUAAAUAGUUCUGCAUCCUGCUUUAGUGUGGGGACGUUGUAAAUUACGGCUUCUACUUGAGGUCAUUUCCGGGUGUCUGCAGUUGUCUGUACCUCACUGGUGGGUGGCUCCUUGUGGACAGUGGCAUUUGGCAGGCUGCAGUUACUGGGGAGUCAGAUGGGCAUAUGAACAGGGAGAGAGUCGAGGUGCUGAAGAAGACAGAUCAGAAAGGUUGCGCAGCAACAGCCCGGAAGAAGCAUCUUGAGGAUGAGAAGAGGCAUUCGCUAGGGGAUUUCGGCUUGUUUUCGCUUAUCACACUGAUUGAUCUUCGCUUUUAGCCAAAUGGUAUAUACUAUUGGUACAGUUUCAGAUUCAGAAAUUUUCUCAGAAGCCUCUGUCUGUCAUCCGAAGCCCCGCCCACGUGGUUCCUCUUCUCUUUCUACCCUCGGGCACCUUCCAAAUGAGCGACUUGAUUCAAGCCUAACGUCCUGAUGCGGGGCGCUGACGGCCUGAGUAAUUCCUGCUGUAGCAUGCCUUUGAGGAAGAUUGGCAUGAGAGACAAGAUUGUGAUCAGAAUGUGUGCAAAAGACUGGGGUUGCCCAGGCACAGAACAGGGUUUUGGUUCAGUGGAGCCCUCGGAGCUGGCGGUGGUCAGCGUCAGCCAGUGUGUGCUGCCUGGGUUCUUCCGAGGCUCGCUCCUCAUGUGAAAAUCUACUGAGAAUCUGCUUCUGCCAGAUAGAAAGCCAGAACAGACUCAGAUCACCAAAGCUAAGCAUGAGGUUGGGAUGAACGCCUCUCUUGGUUUCGUUGGCGACCCACAGACACGUUUCUCCACUGACACUCAUCCAGUGAGAACCGGAAACUCACUGGUUUGUGACGUCAGCUCCCAGGCUCCCAGGGCAUCUCCUGUGUUCCACCCUGAUUCUCCUUACGCAAAAGUAACUGUUUAGACAAGACAAAAAGACAGGAAUGCCUACCCAGCAUAACAGGUGAGACGAAUUUCCUCAGCAAGGAGGUCAAAAUAGGACACGGAAUUCCCUGUGACUGGGUUAGAUCCAGUUGAGAGCUGCCGUGUGGGUGCUGGGAGCCAGAGUUCUAUGCAAGAGUGACAGGAUCCCUAAACCACUGAGCCUCUCUCCGGCCCUGUCUUAGUGUUUUAAUUGCUACAACAAAACAUCAUGACCAAAAAGCAAGUAGGGGAGGAAAGGGUUUAUUCAGUUCACAUUUCCACAUUGCUGCUCAUCACCAAAGGAAGUCAGGACAGGAACUCACACAGGGCAGGAACCUGGAGGCAGGGGCUGAUGCAGAGGCCAUGGAGGGAUGAUACUGACUGGCUUGCUUCCCCUGGCUUGCUCAGCCUGCUUUCUUAUAGAACCCAGGACCACCAGCCCAGGGAUGGCACCACCCACAAUGGGCUGGGCCCUCCCCCCUUGAGCACUAAUUGAGAAAAUGCCUUACAGCUGGAGCUCAUGGAGACAGUUCCUCAACUGUGGCUCCUUCCUCUCUGAUGACUUUAGUUUGUAUCAAGUGGAUACCAAGCCAGUUGGUAUGAGCUCGAUAUUUUGCAUUUAUUUCUCUCCCCUUUAGUCUUACAACUUGUUUGGUUAUAUGGCCUGGAACAGGUCCUUGAAAACAUCUUUCGGCUCACAGAUCCUUUUGAAGUGUUUCUGUGAUGUUUCAUAAUUGUCUAUUGAGAAAUAUUCACCCAUUUCCAGCAGAGUUUCAGUUAUUUUUAUUGACGGGUGCAAUUCAUGUGGGCAAAUAACAAAUGAUAAAAUUAAUGUAUUUUUUGAGAUUUAUUUAUUCCAUGUAUGUGAAUACACUGUAGCUGUCCUCAGACACACCAGAAGAGUGCAUGGGAUCCAUUGACAGAUGGUUGUGAGCCACCAUGUGGUUGCUGGGAUUUGAACUCAGAACAUCUGGAAGAGCAGUCAGUGCUCUUAACCACUGAGCCAUCUCUCCAGCCCUAUUUUUUUUUAAGAGUUUGGUAGCAUCCAGAGGAAAGUCAGGUAGGUUGCUCAGCACUGUGCCUGUGGUGGGUGUCCCACUGCCACCCCCCGUAUUGUCCCUGCUCUUAGCACUUUCUAAUACAGAACUGGCUUUACCAUUUCAUUUCCAGUGUGUUCUUCUUCCCCGGAACGGAAGUUAUCCACAUGUAGGGCUUUAAUCUGUUCCAUUUAUUGUUGUAUUUCUGAUGCCCAAAGCAGUGCUUCCGUUAUCCUAGGUGGUCAGUAAAUGCCUGUAGAAUGAAUGGGUGAACUCUUUGGUUUUUUUAAGAUUUAUUUUGUAUUCAUAUUGUAAGACUCUCAGAGAGAAUCUUCCCUCAGGAGGGAGAUCCUCAAGCCCAAUGACCAGACCGAGUCCACAGGCUGCAAUCUGCAAGAGGAUUUUUAUUGAUCAGGAUACACAGGUAUCUGUGGGCGUCCCAGUCAAUUUGGAAGACUGGCGCGCCUAGCAGAACCAGGGACGGGUUUUUAUAGUGUAUUGGGAGCAGAAGCAGGCUUACAGAAGCAGAUGCAUGGUUACAGGGAUGUGAUUGGUGGAGUAAAUGAGGCAUACGUGUAUGUUACCUAUUUUGGCUAUAAUCAUAACAGUGAGUUAGCAAAAAGUACAUGGUGGUCAGGGCUUCCGGGGGGUCAGGGACUUUUUCUUUUUCCUGCCAGGUGGCCCAUGGAGCAGUGCCCAUAAUUUAGUCUGGUUUCUGCAUUUUGUUUUCUUUUCUGGUCUGUUUCGUCAAAAUGAUGGGUCAGCUUGUCCCACAUAUCUAAACACUUACUUUUUACUUCUAUAGUUGAGGGCCUUGGGCUUGUACAAUUCUCUUUCUGGGAGGGGGUCUUUCAAUAUGUGUGUGUGCAUCUCUCUCUCUCUCUCUCUCUCUCUCUCUCUGUAUGCUGUGUGUAUGCUCUGUGUGUGUGUGUGUGUGUGUGUGUGUGUGUGUGUGUGAGAGAGAGAGAGAGAGAGAGAGAGAGAGAGAGAGAGAGAGAGAGAGAGAGAGAGAAUGAGAAUGUGUACAAGCAGAAGGCAUUGGAGCCCUGGGAGCUGGAGUUAACAGCAUUUGAGAACCACCUGAAGUGGGUGUUAGGAAACCAAACUCGGGCCCUCUGAGCCAUUUUUUCCGUCUGAGUAAACGCUCAACAAUUCUAACUCAUUAGAAUAUUCUAGCGAGAAUCCUGUGCAAAGUCACAGACUGCCCUUUGCUCCUAGUUCGCCGUUUUAAAAACCGCUGCAUAGGAAGCUAUUCGAUGCGGCCUACAUGUGAGGGCAAACAUCUACCUUUUCAUCUUUAACUAGAAACCACACAUUUUAAACAUUUAAUUAACUGAUUGGAUUACUAACUGUAGGGGUAUGAAGGAGGAAAGGCGGCCUCCACAUCACGUAAAUGCUGCGCAGCCGCGAAGGCAUCGCCUGCAAGACGACCUAAUUGAAGACUGCCUGAAAGACCAAUGAUUGUUGACGCAGACAAUGCCAGCCAAUCAGGAACUGCUGUUUAGAGGAGACGCUUUCUUUGGACCAAUGGGUCAUGGGUGGAGGGUGUUAAAGGAGCUUGCAGUAGAGUUCACAUGAGCUUCCUGGUGCGCUUCUUACUGACUGUUUGAAUCUGUGUCAUUGAGUCCGCUCCAGCGCACCUCCAACCCCCAAGGGCAGCUUCUCUGGAGGAACGGAACCAGGAGGAUGAAUACAUUGUAUCAAAGUCUAGAAAAUGAGAUUUAAAGGAAUGAUGGCCAACGUAUCUCGGAGCCACUGGGAGCCUAGUACCGAGCCCUCGGAGCUGAGCCUCCACACUUAGUGCCGUCCUGGAGGAGCUGUUGCUUACUUUGAGGGGGAUGUCUCAUUCAGUCGAAAAGGUGAGGUGCCUCUGGAGUCCAAAUCUGGCUCUUGGAGUGGGGAAGACUCUGGGAAAACUGCUGGUGCCUGUUCUACAGUGAAAGCUUGGAAACAUUGUUUCUGCUGUCUGUGGAGGAGCAACCACAUCAGGAUAAGUCAUCUUUGCAGCCAAAGGGAAGGGCUAGCGAGCAAAAGGCAAGAUGAGCAUCCUUCUGACAUCCUUCUGACAUCCUUCUGACAUCCUCUGACAUACCCUCGUCUAUCUCUGCUGCUACCAGUAGUGCUGAAGCAGGCCGGGAAGAAUGUCCCAUGUCAACCAAGGCAAUAGGGACAGGUCUCCAGGGCAGGCUCCCUGCUCAGGUGGUUCUAAGUUGUGGCAGCUGACAUUGAAACCAAGCAUAUAGUGAUAUUUUGACUGCAUUUGUGUAACAUAUUUUGCCUUCCAACUUUUGUCUAUUCUUAUGUCUUGGAUGCAUCAUUUACUAAAUUGUAUUUUUUUUUUAAAAAUCAAACUGGAUAGCCUACAUUUUAAUUGGAGGAUUUAGCUGCUAUGUAUUGACUGAGAUUGUUGGUCCCUUUAUAGCAUAGUCUGAAUUUCUCUUGGACAAUUUUAUUGUUCUCUCAUUUUGUAUUUCCCCUCUAUUGUGACCAAUACUUUGGUAUUGUGAAUUUGUUGUUGCUCUUAUACUGAAUUAAACUAUAUGUGUGUGCAUGUAUAUAUAUAUAUGUGUGUAUAUAUGUGUGUAUGUAUAAUAUGCAUAUAUAUGUAUACUCUAUAAAUUUAAUAAACAUACUUUAGUACCUCCCAUAAAUCAGGAUCAAACACUAUUUUUAAAGAUUUAUUUUAUUAUGUAUACAGUGUUCUGCCUGCAUCUAUGCCUGCAGGUCAGAAGAGGGCACCAGAUCCCAUUACAGAUGGUUGUGAGCCACCGUGCGGUUGCUGAGAAUUGAACCCAGGACCUCUGGAAGAGCAGUCUGUGCUCUUAACCUCUGAGCCAUCUCUCCGGCCCCUGGUCAUAUACUAUUUUCAAUCUGGUUAUUCUGAUCUUGUCCGGUGCUUUAUAUAGUUCAAUCUUAAUUCCAGAUCAAUCUUGAAGCUCUACAAAUGAGAACUAUGCUUGCUGUCUCCACACUCAACACUGACUUCAGUCAACCCACAUUAGAUGUUUUCUUCUCCCUCAACCCCUCUCACACCUCAGACCUUUUUCUCAGAUCCCUUCCCCUUCCUGAAGCACGUAUUCCAGAAGUGACUACAGGGCAAGUCUGUCAUUGACUCUUUUUGGGGAGGGGGUUCUUUUUUUUGGAGCUGGGGACCGAACCCAGGGCCUUGCGCUUCCUAGGUAAGCGCUCUACCACUGAGCUAAAUCCCCAGCCCCCUGUCAUUGACUCUUAUGCUCUGUCCAAAGCAGAUUUACUUUGUACUCGUUCUUGAGAGCUAGUUUUUCUGGCUAGCAGCAACCAGCUGGCCGUGCUCCCUUGGUGUCUCACAGGGGCCUCUCUCACCCACGACAGCUCUUCGAGAUGCAGUUCUCAAUCUAAGCACGUGUUUUCCCAGGCUAGCCCCAGACCAGCAGUGUCAGAGUCCCUCUGCAGCUCAGUGGGGUCUUUACAUUUUAUUCCACAGUUCCUGACCCAACUCUGCAGUUGGGCAGACAGGACUGUCUACCACCCACGGAGGUUUGAUGGCCAGUGUUCAGUCCUUAGAAGCCCGCUGCAGACCGAGAUCGUAAGCCAUCUUGUAUUUCGGGUGUUUCAAGGACGUUAGCUCUGGUAUCUGUGACUAGGCUAAUCCUAGGAAUCAAUUGUGUUUUAUUUACUUCGAAUGAGAUUCUUUCUCUUUGAUUCUCUAAAUUUAAUGAUUGAUGGCUUCCCUUAAUUUUGGAGAAGUGUAACUAUUACGCUUUUUGGACAUUUUCUCCACCUCCACAUACACUAUUGUUCUGAACACCCUUUAGAUUUAUGUUGGACCUGCCCACUAUCGAUUGCAUGUUUUAAGUUAAUUCCUCAUAUUUCCAUAUCCCUGCUACCAUUACUUCUGUGUAGUGAUAAAUAGGAAGGUUUACAUUGGGUUCUGAUAUCGAUGUAUGAAUUUACAUUUUUCCUCUUGAGUUCCCAGACCACACAGGUAAUAUGAAUUCAGCCUUCAGCUCAUGCAUCUCUCUGUUUCUAGUGUGCGUGCGUGUAUGCAUGUGUGCAUGUGUGUGUGCUUGUGUGUGCUUGUGUGUGUGUUUGUGUGUAUUUGUGUGUUUGUGUGUGUGUAUGCGUGUGUGUUUGUGUGUGUGUGUAUACACAUGUGUAUAUGUCUGUGUACAUGACAGUGCUUUGGUCCAUGUAGAAGUCAGGGGAUAACCUUAGAUGUAGACCCUUGCCUUCUACUUUGUUGGAGACAGGUCCUCUCUGUUGUUCUUUCUUCUGUGCACAAGGUGCGUGAGCUUCUGGGGAUUGUCCUGUCUCUGUCUCCCAGGAGUUCUAGAACUGUGAAUGCUGGCACUAUGUGAAUGGCUUUUAUCUGGGCUCUGAGGGCUUGAAGUCGGGUCACUGUGCGUGGGUGGCCAACACUUCUAUCUAGAAAGCCGUCGACCCAACCCCGCUUCACUUCUAUUUCAUUUAUCAAUGAGCUUAUUCACAGAGGCCAUGGCUUCCCUGGUGUUUGCUACCUCCUUCCAUCCCGAUGAGACUCGGGCAUUUUGCUCUUUUCCAAGCUCACAGAAGAUUAGGGCAUAGCUAGAGACCAGAAGUCACUUAGCAAGUACUCUGGGCAGAAACGAGCCCAACCAGGCCUAACAUGAACAGAACCUUGUGGAGUUUUGCUUUUUCUUACUAACUGAACAAUUAAAUAUUCCUACAACCUAAUGGUUGAGCUCUUACAAAUGUCUUUUAACCUCACCCAAUAUAUUCUGAAAUUCCGUACCAGGGUUUGCCGAGCAUCUCGUCAUCCGAAUACCCACAAUGAAGAUCACUUGAAUUAUCCAACCCCCUGGGGCUGAACCUCUUACCACCACCCAGACCACUUGCUGAACAUCUCGUAUCUGUUGGUUAUCUUGACUUCCGUGCCCAGCAGGUGGACAAAAGAUUAAAGUGGAAGUGACCACAGCCAGUGGGAAGUAA